GAAACAGUUCCUGCCAGCUUAACCCAGCUCACUCUGUGACAGUCCGCCGAGCUGCGGUCCAGCAUUGUACCGUCUGUUAGCAACAAUGAGCGACAAGGGUCUGUCAGACGAGGCUGCAGAUACGGCUUGUAAAGAUGGGGACCCAAUAACAAAGGAUUUCAUGAUGCAGCAGACCAUGCUGCGGGUCAAAGAUCCGGUUAAAUCCCUGGAUUUUUACACCAGAAUCCUCGGCAUGUCGCUCCUACAAAAGUUUGACUUCCCCUCCAUGCGUUUCUCUCUCUUCUUUUUGGGAUACGAGGACAAGAAGGAGAUACCUACGGAAGUGAAGGAAAAGACAGCGUGGACCUUUUCUAGGAGGGCCACCAUCGAGCUGACGCAUAACUGGGGCUCUGAGUCUGAUGAGAGUCAGUCUUAUCACAAUGGGAACUCAGAUCCAAGAGGUUUCGGACACAUUGGAAUUGCAGUUCCCGACGUCUAUGCAGCGUGCAAACUGUUUGAAGAGCAAGGGGUCACGUUUGUCAAGAAGCCAGAUGAUGUCCUGAUGCUCACGUGCCCAGUGUAGGAGCUUCCAGUGGUGGACAGGGUCAGUAUGGACACCCAUAUCAGUAAGCCUGGACUGCCCAUGACCCUGUCACCAUUUCACCGUUUUUCUUCCUUGGUCCGCUUUUGGUAAAAUGAAAGGUUUGGCCUUCAUCCAGGACCCCGAUGGUUACUGGAUUGAGAUCCUGAGUCCCAACAACAUGGUCUCCAUAACCUCCUAAAGACUGACAACACGCUGCCUGCUGCUUUUGCUUGACUUGGAGAUCAGGACGUUGAGGUUUAGUGUAACAAAUUUAGCAGCAUGAACCUGAGGGAGAAAAGAGAUUGAUCACAUGUUUGCCCAGGCAUGUGCUGGACCGUUAUUGGACAGUUGGCGAGCAAAUAGACUAGAUACCUCAGUUGUUGCUACAGAUAUCACCUACUUCUGUGGCUGUUAAGUUGACGGCUGUUUGUUUUUCUUCACAAGUGGUGUUAAAAUAAAGUGAUAUGACUGUAUUGAAUGUGA